rnacentral:rRNA from 1 species
AUUGAACGCUGGCGGCAGGCCUAACACAUGCAAGUCGAACGAGUGGCGGACGGGUGAGUAAUGUCUGGGAAACUGCCCGAUGGAGGGGGAUAACUACUGGAAACGGUAACUAAUACCGCAUACCAUCGGAUGUGCCCAGAUGGGAUUAGCUAGUAGGUGGGGUAAAGGAUCACAUCGGCGACGAUCCCUAGCUGGUCUGAGAGGAUGACCAGCCACACUGGAAAUGAUACACGGUCCAGACUCCUACGGGAGGCAGCAGUGGUGAAGAUUGCACAAUGGGUGCAAGCCUGAUGCAGCCAGGCCGGGUGUAUGAAGAAGGCCUACGGGUUGUAAAGUACUUUCAGCGAGGAGGCGUUACUCGCAGAAGAAGCACCGGCUAACUCCGUGCCAGCAGCCGCGGUAAUUC